UGGUCUUUAAUGAAAUCGACUUGUUUUUCUUUUGAAAAGCCUGGAGAAAAAUGAACCCCUACGAUGAGCGGAGACUGAGAGAUGAAGUGAUUUAUCUUCAUUCUCUGUGGCGUCAAGGCCCUUCCAGAAACCCAGACCCACCACCAAACCAACCCAACGACACUAACAAGUCAUCAAGAAGCCCCCUUAAACCCACCACCGCCUCGCCUUUGAAGAAGCGAAAGAGAAAGAGAAAGAGAAGUUCCAAAAAACAUAACAAUAUGGAUAACACAUCAGACGGCGACCCGGGUCGUGAUUCGGACUACAAAUGGCCCGUCAACCCUACACCGGACCCUCCUCCGCCCACCACUGGAUGGGGAGAGAUGAAGAAGAAAACACAGAGCAAAGCUGGCCCUUUGUCGGCACAUGAGAAAGCGAAAGUGAUGGCAAUGCAAGCAGAGCAGAAAGGUAUUGAAGCUUGCCAUGAGUUUUUCUCUGAAAAAAUAGGGGAUGAAAGUGAUGAAGAAGAGGAUCGCAAUCUCAAUGAGGAGUUUGGCGAGGAGGAUUAUUUGACUGAGGAUGAUGGGGAUGUGGAUAGUGAGGAGUUUAAGUUUCUGUUAGAAUUGUUUGUAAAGGAUGAUAAGUUGAGGAGUUUCUAUGAGAAGAACCACGAGAAUGGUGAAUUUUGUUGCCUGGUUUGUCGUGGGAUUGGGGAGAAACUUAACAAGAGGUAUAAAGAUUGUCUAGGCCUUGUUCAGCAUACGAUUUCUAUAUCGAAGACGAAAAGAAAGAGAGCUCAUAAAGCUUUGGGGCGGGUUGUGUGUAAGGUUCUGGGAUGGGAUUUUGAUCGUUUGCCAGUGAUUGUGUUGAAGGGUGAGCCACUUGGAACUUCUUUGGGGAAUUCCGGCUUUACAAAGGGUGAAGGGGCAAAUGCAAAUGCUGAAGAUAAUAAGGAAGAUAUGACUGUUGCGCAGGUAAAUGAGGGCUCUACAACUGGAAAUGAUUCUGAAAUUGUGGAGAAAGUUGUUUUAGAUGGUAAUCGGAAUGAUGGUGAACUGAUGAUUGGUGAGGAUGAAUGGGCAAAGGCAAAUGCUGAGGAUAAUAACGAAGAUAUGACUUUUUCUCAGGUAAAUAAGGGCUCUACAAGUGGAAAUGAUGGUGAAAUAGUGGAGAAAGCGGUUUUAGAUGGUAACACAUCAGACUGCAACCCGGAUUGUGAUUUGGACCGCAAAUGGCCCAUCAAGCCUACACCAUCGCCUCCUCUGCUCACAACUGGAUGGGGAGAGAUGAAGAUGAAAACAGAGAGCAAAUCUGGCCCUUUGUCGGCACAAGAGAAAGCUAAAGUGAUGGCAAUGCAAACAGAGCAGAAGGGUCUUGAAGCUUGCCACGAGUUUUUCUAUAAUAGGGAUGAAAGUGAUGAAGAAGAGGAUCACAUUCGUGAUGAGGAGUUUGAUGAGGAAGAUUAUUUGACUGAGGAUGAUGGAGAUUUAGAUAGUGAAGAGUUUAAGUUUUUUUUAGAAUUGUUUGUAAAAGAUGAUAAGUUGAGGAGUUUCUAUGAGAAAAACCAUGAGAAUGGUGAAUUUUGUUGCCUGGUAUGUCGUGGGAUUGGGGAAAAACUUAACAAGAGGUAUAAAAAUUGUUUAAGCCUUGUUCAGCAUACAAUUUCUAUAUCGAAGACGAAAAGAAAGAGAGCUCAUAGAGCUUUUGGGCAGGUUGUGUGUAAGGUUCUUGGAUGGGAUUUUGAUAGUUUGCCAGUGCUUGUGUUGAAGGGUGAGCCACUUGGAACUUCUUUGGUGAAUUCCGACCUUACAAAGGACGAAGGGGCAAAGGCAAAUGCUGAAGAUAAUAAGGACGAUAUUACUGUUGCUCAGGCAAAUGAGGCCUCUACAAGUGGAAAUGAUGGUGAAAUAGUGGAGAAAGUGGUUUUAGAUGGUAAUCGGAAUUAUGGUGAAGUGAUGAUUGGUGAGGAUGAAUGGGCAAAUGCAAAUGCUGAGGAUAAUGAGGAAGAUAUGACUGUUGCUCAGGUAGAUGAGGGCUCUACAAGUGGAAAUGAUGGUGAAAUAGUUGAGAAAGUGGUUUUAAAUGGUAAUUGGAACGAUGGUGGAUUAAUGAUUGGUGAGGCUGGAGUCGAAGCAAAUGCCAAUGAUGAUAAGGAUGGCUCGAAGUAAUCCCAACAUCAAAUUAAUAUGUGAAUUAGCUCAAAAAGAGGAAUCAGUGGUGAGAAUUAGUGAGGUUAGCUACACACCAAGAUUCUCUAAUUGAAGAUAACAGCAGUGAGCAAGGUACUAACAUUUUGGUUUCGGAGAUGAGUCAAGAGGGAGAUGUCUUUAUGAGAUGAUUGUAAUGUUUAAGCGCAUUUAAAACUUUCAUUAUCUUGUUUUCCUUUGUGGAUAUGAUUUAUCUACUAAUGAUGAAUCAUGUUUUUGCCUAGUUUUGGCAAUUCUCCCCUAUCUUAUGUGUUGAACAUGAUACUUUAUACCAAAUUCUCCUUCAUGGAA